rnacentral:rRNA from 1 species
CCUACGGGCGAGCAGCAGUGAGGAAGAUUGGGCAAUGGAAGAGAGGAUGAACCAGCCAAGGAGAGUGAAGGAUGACUGCCCGAUGGGUUGUAAACUUCUUUUAUAUGGGAAUAAAAUGUUCCACGUGUGGGAUUUUGUAUGUACCAUAUGAAUAAGGAUCGGCUAACUCCGUGCCAGCAGCCGCGGUAAUACGGAGGAUCCGAGCGUUAUCCGGAUUUAUUGGGUUUAAAGGGAGCGUAGGUGGAUUGUUAAGUCAGUUGUGAAAGUUUGCGGCGCAACCGUAAAAUUGCAGUUGAAACUGGCAGUCUUGAGUACAGUAGAGGUGGGCGGAAUUCGUGGUGUAGCGGUGAAAUGCUUAGAUAUCACGAAGAACUCCGAUUGCGAAGGCAGCUCACUGGACUGCAACUGACACUGAGGCUCGAAAGUGUGGGUAUCAAACAGGAUUAGAUACCCUUGUAGUC